rnacentral:rRNA from 1 species
GCAAGUCAACUUGAACUUCGGUUUGGGUGGCGGACGGGUGAGUAACGCGUAAAGAACUUGCCUCACAGCUAGGGACAACAUUUGGAAACGAAUGCUAAUACCUGAUAUUAUGAUUAUAUGGCAUCGUAUAAUUAUGAAAGCUAAAUGCGCUGUGAGAGAGCUUUGCGUCCCAUUAGCUAGUUGGAGAGGUAACGGCUCACCAAGGCGAUGAUGGGUAGCCGGCCUGAGAGGGUGAUCGGCCACAAGGGGACUGAGACACGGCCCUUACUCCUACGGGAGGCAGCAGUGGGGAAUAUUGGACAAUGGACCGAGAGUCUGAUCCAGCAAUUCUGUGUGCACGAUGAAGUUUUUCGGAAUGUAAAGUGCUUUCAGUUGGGAAGAAAAAAAUGACGGUACCAACAGAAGAAGUGACGGCUAAAUACGUGCCAGCAGCCGCGGUAAUACGUAUGUCACGAGCGUUAUCCGGAUUUAUUGGGCGUAAAGCGCGUCUAGGUGGUUAUGUAAGUCUGAUGUGAAAAUGCAGGGCUCAACUCUGUAUUGCGUUGGAAACUGUAUAACUAGAGUACUGGAGAGGUAAGCGGAACUACAAGUGUAGAGGUGAAAUUCGUAGAUAUUUGUAGGAAUGCCGAUGGGGAAGCCAGCUUACUGGACAGAUACUGACGCUGAAGCGCGAAAGCGUGGGUAGCAAACAGGAUUAGAUACCCUGGUAGUCCACGCCGUAAACGAUGAUUACUAGGUGUUGGGGGUCGAACCUCAGCGCCCAAGCAA